GAAAUUUACAUGAUGACAAUUUCAUACCCUAUAACUGAGCAAAAAUGCUGAUAUUUUAUCAUGCACUACCAUCUGAAAAAUUUC